rnacentral:rRNA from 1 species
UACGGAGGGUGCAAGCGUUAUCCGGAUUUACUGGGUUUAAAGGGUGUGUAGGCGGACUUUUAAGUCAGCGGUGAAAUCUCCGGGCUCAACCCGGAAAUUGCCGUUGAUACUAUUAGUCUUGAAUUAAGUUGAGGUGGGCGGAAUAUGUCAUGUAGCGGUGAAAUGCUUAGAUAUCGUCCAGAACACCGAUAGCGAAGGCAGCAUACUAAGGAGUAACUGACGCUGAGGCACGAAAAGUGUGGGGAUCAAACAGG